rnacentral:rRNA from 1 species
AGUCAGAGGCGAUGAAGGACGUGCUAAUCUGCGAUAAGCGUCGGUAAGGUGAUAUGAACCGUUAUAACCGGCGAUUUCCGAAUGGGGAAACCCAGUGUGAUUCGUCACACUAUCAUUAACUGAAUCCAUAGGUUAAUGAGGCGAACCGGGGGAACUGAAACAUCUAAGUACCCCGAGGAAAAGAAAUCAACCGAGAUUCCCCCAGUAGCGGCGAGCGAACGGGGAGCAGCCCAGAGCCUGAAUCAGUGUGUGUGUUAGUGGAAGCGUCUGGAAAGGCGCGCGAUACAGGGUGACAGCCCCGUACACAAAAAUGCACAUACUGUGAGCUCGAUGAGUAGGGCGGGACACGUGGUAUCCUGUCUGAAUAUGGGGGGACCAUCCUCCAAGGCUAAAUACUCCUGACUGACCGAUAGUGAACCAGUACCGUGAGGGAAAGGCGAAAAGAACCCCGGCGAGGGGAGUGAAAAAGAACCUGAAACCGUGUACGUACAAGCAGUGGGAGCACGCUUAGGCGUGUGACUGCGUACCUUUUGUAUAAUGGGUCAGCGACUUAUAUUCUGUAGCAAGGUUAACCGAAUAGGGGAGCCGAAGGGAAACCGAGUCUUAACUGGGCGUUAAGUUGCAGGGUAUAGACCCGAAACCCGGUGAUCUAGCCAUGGGCAGGUUGAAGGUUGGGUAACACUAACUGGAGGACCGAACCGACUAAUGUUGAAAAAUUAGCGGAUGACUUGUGGCUGGGGGUGAAAGGCCAAUCAAACCGGGAGAUAGCUGGUUCUCCCCGAAAGCUAUUUAGGUAGCGCCUCGUGAAUUCAUCUCCGGGGGUAGAGCACUGUUUCGGCAAGGGGGUCAUCCCGACUUACCAACCCGAUGCAAACUGCGAAUACCGGAGAAUGUUAUCACGGGAGACACACGGCGGGUGCUAACGUCCGUCGUGAAGAGGGAAACAACCCAGACCGCCAGCUAAGGUCCCAAAGUCAUGGUUAAGUGGGAAACGAUGUGGGAAGGCCCAGACAGCCAGGAUGUUGGCUUAGAAGCAGCCAUCAUUUAAAGAAAGCGUAAUAGCUCACUGGUCGAGUCGGCCUGCGCGGAAGAUGUAACGGGGCUAAACCAUGCACCGAAGCUGCGGCAGCGACGCUGAUGCGUUGUUGGGUAGGGGAGCGUUCUGUAAGCCUGUGAAGGUGUGCUGUGAGGCAUGCUGGAGGUAUCAGAAGUGCGAAUGCUGACAUAAGUAACGAUAAAGCGGGUGAAAAGCCCGCUCGCCGGAAGACCAAGGGUUCCUGUCCAACGUUAAUCGGGGCAGGGUGAGUCGACCCCUAAGGCGAGGCCGAAAGGCGUAGUCGAUGGGAAACAGGUUAAUAUUCCUGUACUUGGUGUUACUGCGAAGGGGGGACGGAGAAGGCUAUGUUGGCCGGGCGACGGUUGUCCCGGUUUAAGCGUGUAGGCUGGUUUUCCAGGCAAAUCCGGAAAAUCAAGGCUGAGGCGUGAUGACGAGGCACUACGGUGCUGAAGCAACAAAUGCCCUGCUUCCAGGAAAAGCCUCUAAGCAUCAGGUAACAUCAAAUCGUACCCCAAACCGACACAGGUGGUCAGGUAGAGAAUACCAAGGCGCUUGAGAGAACUCGGGUGAAGGAACUAGGCAAAAUGGUGCCGUAACUUCGGGAGAAGGCACGCUGAUAUGUAGGUGAAGUCCCUCGCGGAUGGAGCUGAAAUCAGUCGAAGAUACCAGCUGGCUGCAACUGUUUAUUAAAAACACAGCACUGUGCAAACACGAAAGUGGACGUAUACGGUGUGACGCCUGCCCGGUGCCGGAAGGUUAAUUGAUGGGGUCAGCGCAAGCGAAGCUCUUGAUCGAAGCCCCGGUAAACGGCGGCCGUAACUAUAACGGUCCUAAGGUAGCGAAAUUCCUUGUCGGGUAAGUUCCGACCUGCACGAAUGGCGUAAUGAUGGCCAGGCUGUCUCCACCCGAGACUCAGUGAAAUUGAACUCGCUGUGAAGAUGCAGUGUACCCGCGGCAAGACGGAAAGACCCCGUGAACCUUUACUAUAGCUUGACACUGAACAUUGAGCCUUGAUGUGUAGGAUAGGUGGGAGGCUUUGAAGUGUGGACGCCAGUCUGCAUGGAGCCG